rnacentral:piRNA from 2 species
UCAGAAUCCAGAAACUGAAUGGCUUAGAGAC